rnacentral:rRNA from 1 species
AGUGAACGCUGGCGGUAGGCCUAACACAUGCAAGUCGAACGGCAGCACAGUAAGAGCUUGCUCUUACGGGUGGCGAGUGGCGGACGGGUGAGGAAUACAUCGGAAUCUACUUUUUCGUGGGGGAUAACGUAGGGAAACUUACGCUAAUACCGCAUACGACCUACGGGUGAAAGCAGGGGAUCUUCGGACCUUGCGCGAUUGAAUGAGCCGAUGUCGGAUUAGCUAGUUGGCGGGGUAAAGGCCCACCAAGGCGACGAUCCGUAGCUGGUCUGAGAGGAUGAUCAGCCACACUGGAACUGAGACACGGUCCAGACUCCUAAGGGAGGCAGCAGUGGGGAAUAUCGGACAAUGGGCGCAAGCCUGAUCCAGCCAUACCGCGUGGGUGAAGAAGGCCUUCGGGUUGUAAAGCCCUUUUGUUGGGAAAGAAAAGCAGCAGGUUAAUACCCCGCUGUUCUGACGGUACCCAAAGAAUAAGCACCGGCUAACUUCGUG